GGGGGUCAUAUGAUGAUUAGAAAUGCAUAGUUCAGAUGAUUUUUCUGUGAUUAAUUUCUUGUUUUAGUCUUUCGCUCCUAUCUGAUGACUCCU